rnacentral:tRNA from 1 species
GGGGUUGUGGCUCAGUGGUGGAGUGCUCACCUCACAUGUGUGAAGCACUGGGUUUGAUCCUCAGCACUACA